GCGGACGUGGCGGAAUGGUAGACGCCGGGGACUUAAAAUCCCCUGCCAUUCGGGGCGUGCGGGUUCGAGUCCCGCCGUCCGUACCA
rnacentral:tRNA from 1 species